rnacentral:SRP_RNA from 1 species
AUUUGGGAAAGUCUUACACGACCAGCUCCCUCUGAAUUCCCCCAGGACAGGAAUGUAGCAAGGGUAGGAGGUCGUAGCGGUGCGAUGUACAGGUGCUUUCCCU